rnacentral:tRNA from 1 species
GCCCGGAUAGCUCAGUCGGUAGAGCAGGGGAUUGAAAAUCCCCGUGUACUUGGUUCGAUUCCGAGUCCGGGCACCA